UUGUAUUGGACACAUACAAUACGAUAUCUACUGUUUUAUACAAAUAACAUACUAGGUACAUAUAAUACAUACAGCAAACUGUCACUGCCCUACUCGCAAUAUACAGUGAACAACUAAAUUGCACCCUACCUAUUGUGCAACACACCUUUAAUCAUCAUAGUCACAUAUAAUUACAGACACCAGAUGGGGGAGAACAUUUUUUUAUAACUGUUGACCUCAAGCUAACUUAUCAUUUAAUGCUUUAAUGGACAGUGGGACAAAGGAGUUCUUAUAACGAUUAAGCACACACUGAGGAACUCUUAGGCGUCUUCCUGAGGUAAGAAGUUGCUACCCUCAACCUACGAAGAAAAUACAAUCGCUGUUGGUCCCUAAUUCAGACAUUUUCCACCUGAACACUCCAUGUCAAAGGCAAUGUUUAUCACACCACUGGACAAAAUUCUGAACCUUUUGAACCUCAUGUUUGUAAGUAACAACAUCUGAUGUUCCAUACAUGAGACCUAAAACAGCUGCAUUAUCAGAUAACCUAAUCAUGUAAUUAUUACCAGUACUGCAUGUACAUUCAUCAGUAUAUAAGGAACAGAACUGGAGAACUGACACACCCCUGUGGGGCACCAGUGCUGAUAAUCGUAGAUUCAGACAGCGUCCUAUUCACCCGAACCUGCUGACUGCGAUUGGUCAGAAAUGAGUGGAACCACUUAAUAAUAAAGGGAUUGACAUUUAUCUGCUGCAUUGUUUUCAAAAGAAAGUGAGGCUGCAAGGUAUUAAAGGCUGAGCUGAAAUCUACAAACAACAGUCUAGCAUAUGCCCUAGGAUUCUCUAGAUGUUUAGUCACUAGGUGCACUAAACUGUUGAUUGCAUUAUCAGGGCCUCUUCAAUGUUUGUAAGUGAACUGAUUAGAAUCUAAGUGUGGACCUACUUCUAGUUUGAAUUAACUCAUAAUGAGCUUUUCCAUGCAUUUCAUCACAACAGAAGUUAAAGCAGUAGGUCUAAAAUAAUUAUUCUAGACCAAAUCACAUUCAACAGACAAAUCAUAAUUGUCAAACCGUCCACACCCACAUGAGGCUGGUAAGCAAACUGGACUGGGUCCAGUGCAAGUUCACCUGUGGGACCAGGUGGGCUAAAACUAUUCUCUCCAACACCUUCCAUGUGACAUGAAGCAACCGGUCUGUAGUCUCUGAGGCCAGAUAGGGGGGCUUUCUAAGGUAUCGGCACUAGACAACAUGCAUCAGACUCAGGUAGUAGAUGUACUUCAGGAUACCAGAAAGCUGAGUAGCGCAGGACUUCAGAACCCUUGGACUAAAACCACCAGGGCCUGCAGCCUUGCCUUGAUCAAGUCUCUCCAACUGUCUUCUCACCUGGUUGGUCGCCACAGUGAAAUAAGUUGAUGUGGUCAGCCCAGUGGAGGUAGGCAUUGGGGGGUUGUGGUCAGGGAUACUCAGCAAGCCUGUGUGAUGUUGCUGUGGAUGUGUAUUUGGUGUCUGUGAGGAUGUGAAGACUGUUCCUAUGUGGGAUGGACCAGCAGGGGAUCGUGUGCUGAACCUUUUAAAAACACAUUCAGUUCGUUGGCUCUGUCCAAGCUGUCCAAGAAGAAAUGAAACCUCAGUGUCAGACAACAGACAACUCUGGAGCUUAGGGCCAUUUCUCAGAUCACUGACAUGUUUUAAUCAACACUAAAAUCAUUUCAUUCAUACUGUCUUAAUAACAGCUUCCUCUCCAGGCCCGUAUUUUUCCCACUUUAUUUAUCAUCUAAAAGUGUUUAUCAUCAGCUGUGUAUCAGUGUGAGAGAGAAAAGUCUGGUCUUUAACCGUUCAGGAGUUUUACUGUGUGAAAGAGUGACUUCAGAGUCACAGCACAGCAGAGUCAGAACUUCAGUGCAUUCAGAGUCACAGCAACAUAAGAAAUGAAGCAAUUUAGGUCUAAAAAUAUUUACAUCCUCUAAAAUAUUACAGAUUGGUUGUCCACAUAUGUUCUGGCUUAAAUAUUUACUUAUUUGACUAAUCCUUUUUUUCAUUUCAGUUUACAGGUUUUAGCCUGAUGACACUGGCUAUCUUUAACUUAGCAGUGUUCAAGUGCUGCAGAUUCUGUCAGCAAGAACCACAAGCCAACACUGGAGCAACCGCCACCAGACGAAGGUGAUGGGAAACAAACUGCUGUACAGAUCACAUACUAAAUCUGCUCAGAUGGAGCUGCUGUGCUGAAUGAACAUAUUGUUAAUCUAAACAAUCACUAGAGGCUCCUCCCUGUUUUGGGUCACCAGAGUGGAUCACCUUGUCCACAUUUUUUAUGUGGCUUUAUACCGGAUGCCCUUCCUGACAUGACCAUUCCAUAUAAUCUGGGCUUGGGACCAAGACUGAUAGUUAACUCUUCAGUGGCUGGGUUAGCUUCCUGCCUGGGAAUUGAACCCUGGGAAUCAGUGAGAGGGCGGGAUCCCUCCACUGGACCACAAGGAGGCAAUUAGUAAAGCUAAUUAGUGAAUUAUAUGAAAAUAAAUGAAAAUUAAAAUGAAGAGUAAUGCUGGUCUAAUCAUUUUGUUAGCCGUGUUAACAAAAAACACAGAGUGACCAUUGAGUGAUCGAUUGAUUGAUCUGUGGAGAUCGUCAAGUGCACCAAAUUCCUUGGUGUUCAUCUGGUGGAGAACUUUACCUGGUCACUCAACACCAGCUCCAUCAGUAAUAAAGCCCAGCAGCAUCUUUACUUAUUAACGAAGUCUGAGGAAAGCCCAUCUCCCUCCCCCCAUCCUGUCUGUGUUCUACAGAGGGACCAUGGAGAGCGUCCUGAGCAGCUGCAUCACUGCCUGGUUUGGGAACUGGACCGUCUCAGAUCACAAGACCCUUCAGGGGAUAAUGCACUACAACACAAGCUGGACCCAGCUAGCACAACAACACUUUACUCUUCUUCUGAACUCUGCGUGAUGCCGUUCACUACAACACGAGCUGGACCCGGCUAGCACAACACUCUUCUUCUGAACUCUGCAUGGAAGUGCUAGGUGCCCUGUGCUAACGUCGCUGAGCUGACAGACAACUGGCUAGUGUGUGUGAUUGACAGGAGGAGAGAGAGUCUGCCCCUCCCAUCCAGAGAGCUCAGAGAGUCAUGAUCGAUCAUUAUUAUCAUGUUCUUAUCAUUUCAUUAGAAUUUGAACUGUUUUAAUAAAAACUGAAUGAGUGAAGUGAACAUGGCGUCAUGGCGUAACAUCCAGCGUGGGAGUGCGUUAUAACUUUAUUUAAAAACACUGAUUAGAGCUA